rnacentral:lncRNA from 1 species
CCGCUUCCUCCAAGAAGGUCAGCCGACCUCCCGUCAAAGCUUCUUCUCGAACUUCCAAGCCGAGCUCUCGCAGCAUCAAAUCAGCUCGGCCAUCUAGCCAUGGUGGGUCGAGCUCAACCUCGACGCCUGCUGAAGGGUCUAGAUCCGUUCCAACCUCCUCAGAGGUCGUGAGGGAAACUUCCCUAGCUAUUGUGGAGCAGACCCAAGCUACUGAACAAGUGGGGCAGGGUGCCGCCCAUUC